rnacentral:rRNA from 1 species
AUUGAACGCUGGCGGCAGGCCUAACACAUGCAAGUCGAGCGAGCGGCGGACGGGUGAGUCCUGUAUGGGGACUGCCCGAUAGAGGGGGAUAACUACUGGAAACGGUAGCUAAUACCGCAUCCUAUCGGAUAACCCAUAUGGGAUUAGCGAGUAGGUGAGGGAAUGGCUCACCUAGGCGACGAUCCCUAGCUGGUCUGAGAGGAUGAUCAGCCACACUGGGACUGAGACACGGCCCAGACUCUUACGGAGGUAGCAGUGGGGAAUAGUGCACAAUGGGCGCAAGCCUGAUGCAGCCAUGCCGCGUGUAUGAAGAAGGCCUUAGGGUUGUAAAGGACUUUCAGUCGGGAGGCGUUACCGACAGAAGAAGCACCGGCUAACUCCGUGCCAGCCGCCGCGGUAAUAC